rnacentral:rRNA from 1 species
GACGAACCGUGCGAACGUUGUUCGGAAUCACUGGGCUUAAAGGGCGCGUAGGCGGGCCCGCAAGUCAGGGGUGAAAUCCCACGGCUCAACCGUGGAAGUGCCUUUGAUACUGCGGGUCUCGAGGGAGGUAGGGGCGUGCGGAACUUCCGGUGGAGCGGUGAAAUGCGUAGAUAUCGGAAGGAACACCGGUGGCGAAAGCGGCGCGCUGGACCUCUUCUGACGCUGAGGCGCGAAAGCUAGGGUAGCGAACGGG